rnacentral:rRNA from 1 species
AGAGUUUGAUCAUGGCUCAGAUUGAACGCUGGCGGCAGGCCUAACACAUGCAAGUCGAGCGGUAGCACAGAGAGCUUGCUCUCGGGUGACGAGCGGCGGACGGGUGAGUAAUGUCUGGGAAACUGCCUGAUGGAGGGGGAUAACUACUGGAAACGGUAGCUAAUACCGCAUAAUGUCGCAAGACCAAAGUGGGGGACCUUCGGGCCUCAUGCCAUCAGAUGUGCCAAGAUGGGAUUAGCUAGUAGGUGGGGUAAUGGCUCACCUAGGCGACGAUCCCUAGCUGGUCUGAGAGGAUGACCAGCCACACUGGAACUGAGACACGGUCCAGACUCCUACGGGAGGCAGCAGUGGGGAAUAUUGCACAAUGGGCGCAAGCCUGAUGCAGCCAUGCCGCGUGUGUGAAGAAGGCCUUCGGGUUGUAAAGCACUUUCAGCGGGGAGGAAGGCGUUAAGGUUAAUAACCUUGGCGAUUGACGUUACCCGCAGAAGAAGCACCGGCUAACUCCGUGCCAGCAGCCGCGGUAAUACGGAGGGUGCAAGCGUUAAUCGGAAUUACUGGGCGUAAAGCGCACGCAGGCGGUCUGUCAAGUCGGAUGUGAAAUCCCCGGGCUCAACCUGGGAACUGCAUUCGAAACUGGCAGGCUAGAGUCUUGUAGAGGGGGGUAGAAUUCCAGGUGUAGCGGUGAAAUGCGUAGAGAUCUGGAGGAAUACCGGUGGCGAAGGCGGCCCCCUGGACAAAGACUGACGCUCAGGUGCGAAAGCGUGGGGAGCAAACAGGAUUAGAUACCCUGGUAGUCCACGCCGUAAACGAUGUCGAUUUGGAGGUUGUGCCCUUGAGGCGUGGCUUCCGGAGCUAACGCGUUAAAUCGACCGCCUGGGGAGUACGGCCGCAAGGUUAAAACUCAAAUGAAUUGACGGGGGCCCGCACAAGCGGUGGAGCAUGUGGUUUAAUUCGAUGCAACGCGAAGAACCUUACCUGGUCUUGACAUCCACAGAACUUUCCAGAGAUGGAUUGGUGCCUUCGGGAACUGUGAGACAGGUGCUGCAUGGCUGUCGUCAGCUCGUGUUGUGAAAUGUUGGGUUAAGUCCCGCAACGAGCGCAACCCUUAUCCUUUGUUGCCAGCGGUCCGGCCGGGAACUCAAAGGAGACUGCCAGUGAUAAACUGGAGGAAGGUGGGGAUGACGUCAAGUCAUCAUGGCCCUUACGACCAGGGCUACACACGUGCUACAAUGGCAUAUACAAAGAGAAGCGACCUCGCGAGAGCAAGCGGACCUCAUAAAGUAUGUCGUAGUCCGGAUUGGAGUCUGCAACUCGACUCCAUGAAGUCGGAAUCGCUAGUAAUCGUAGAUCAGAAUGCUACGGUGAAUACGUUCCCGGGCCUUGUACACACCGCCCGUCACACCAUGGGAGUGGGUUGCAAAAGAAGUAGGUAGCUUAACCUUCGGGAGGGCGCUUACCACUUUGUGAUUCAUGACUGGGGUGAAGUCGUAACAAGGUAACCGUAGGGGAACCUGCGGUUGGAUCACCU